rnacentral:lncRNA from 1 species
CGUCCACUGGAGGAGUCUGAAAGAUCCUGUGGAAGUCCGAUUGGCGUUGUUGAAGUUCAGCUAGCGCUGUUGAAGUCCGACUGACGCUAUUAAAGGUUGAUGGCUGGAGAGGUAUGGAAGACACUGGAGGCGGUCGGUCAUUGUAAAAAUCCAGCUACUGGGGCCCGUCCAUUGUAGAAGUUCAUCUGGAAUCCAUCCGCUAUGGAAGUUCAGACAGAGUCUGAAAGAAGUUCGGAUGGAGACCGCUUAUUGAAGAAGCUCGACUGAAGUCCGCAGUAGAGGUCCGGAGU